UCGCGCUUCCCUUCCGCCGCCCACAGCUCGCGCGGCCGCGUCGGCCCCCGUGCCGCGGGAAAAGCGGUCCGGGCCCGCUGUGGACGCCGCUGCCGCGGCCGGCCAAGGUUCCGGGCGGACCCCGCCGGCUGAGCUCCUCACUCCUUGAGCUGCCUGCCGCCUUCCCCAUCCCGCCCUGAGGAUGGACCCAGGAGACCCCACUGCUGGAGACCCCACUGCUGGAGACCCUGCUGGUGACCCCGCUGGUGACCCUGCUGGUGGCCAGGACCCGCUUCUGUUCCUGCAGGCCCUGCAGCCGCUCUGGUCCACGCGGGAGCUGCGGCAGCCCCCUGCCCUGGCCCGUGGCCAGACGCACACCCUCUGCCUGCUGGUGGCGGAGGGCUCGGCCACGUCUAGCGCGAGGCCCAUGGCGGGAGCUGCCCCGGGAGGAAGGAGACGUGACUUCUGCCUGAGCUGCCUUCUGGCGGGAGAACCAGCCAGGAGCCGCGCGUCCCCGUCACACAGCCUCUCCACUUGCUCUUGGAGCCUCUCAGGGCUGCUUCGCGGAGGCCACGGAUGGGAACGGUGCCUGAGUGAGCAGGUUCCAGUGGCCACAGCAGGGCAGUUGGGCCUCGUCUCCUUGCUCCUUACGGGGGGGACCAUUGGUGUGUGUGGGGGCAGCUCCGGGAGGAAGCCUGGCGGGGGUUUGCUGCCCUGGAUAACCCGCUUGCCGGUCUCCUGGACAUGCUGGAGGGCAGCCGGGGCUGGCAGGGGAAGGACCCUUCCCUGGAGGCCUGGGUCACCUGUGAGCUGCAGCGCUGGCUGCAGGCACAGCCGCGCCCAGGCCGGGCCCAGCCUGGGGCUGAAGGAGCUGCAGGCCCGUGCAGUCAGGGUCCUCGCCGAGAGCCCCCCCAGCCUCGCCGGGCCGCUGGUCAGCAUCUUCCAGCUGCAGGAUGCAGACCGAAGCCCCCUGCUGGCCUACGUCCGUCGACUCCACCAGGAGGGCAAGUUUAAAGAAGCUGUCAUGCUGAGCACAAAGCUGAAGCUGCAGCCAGAACUAGAUGUGGAAAAGAUGGGCACCCCGCUGCUCCUCCAGGACAAGGUGAACCUCGUGGAGCGCUAUGUGGAUGGCUUCCCAGAUCUCCAGAGGCGGCUGCUGGUCCUCAUGGACUCCUGGUGCCAGCCCGACUUUGACAUCAGAGUCGUCGCCAGGCAGCACCCGAAGGUGACCUCCUUGAAGCUGGAGAAGCUGAGCCCCAAAGUGCUGAGUCGGCAGGUCCUGCACCUGCUGGAGCGGUUCGGUCUGGACCCAGCCUUGUGUCCCAACGUUGUGGCCCAGCAGCGCCUGGCUGCCCUGCGGUACCUGUGCUACAAGCGGUUUGUGGAGAGAAGCAUGUCUCAGGAGAACUGGGCCGACCACGUGCAGGACCUAGUGGGGCAGAAUGAGUGGCUGCAGGAGCAGCUGCUGAAGCUGCUGACCUCUCACAGCGACACAGCCACAGCCGCCCAGUGUGCCCUGGACCUUUCGCUGCCCGAAGCACGGCUGCCGGCCACAGUGGCCGCGGAACUCAGCCGACUCAGGCUCCAGGAGAGGAUGGCCGAGGCACCUUUUGAGGACAGGAGGGACGAUUACUACCAGCUGCCCAUCACCAGGGAGAAUGUGCACUUCCUGGCCUCGUGGGAGGACCUGGCCAGGCACGAGGAGGAGCUGCUGCAGCCAGGCCUGGUCGGCGUGGACCUGGAGUGGAGGCCCUCGUUUGGCACGGGGGGCCGGCCCCAGGUGUCGCUCAUGCAGGUGGCCGUGGAGGGCCACGUGUUCCUCCUGGACCUGUUGGUGCUCUCGCAGACGUCCCAGGCUUUCUCUCAGCUGGUGCUCCGGCUGCUCUCAGACCCCUCCAUCACCAAGCUGGGUUAUGGGAUGGCAGGGGACCUGCGGAGCCUAGGAGCCUCCUGCCCUGCCCUGGCCCACGUGGAGAAGCAGCUUCGGGGCAGCCUGGACCUGCAGCAGGUGCACAGGCAGAUGCGGGUGGUGGACAUGCCAGCCCCCAGCGUGGAUGGGACCAAGGGGCCGAGGGGCCUCAGCCUCCUGGUGCAGCAGGUGCUGGGCAAGCCCCUGGACAAGAGGCAGCAGCUCUCCAACUGGGACCGGCGGCCACUGAGUGAGGCACAGCUGGUCUAUGCAGCCACCGACGCCUACUGCCUGUUGGAGGUGUACCAAGUGCUGUGCAGAGACCCCACCCGCUUCCACCUGUCGGAGGACCUGGCCAAGAGCCUGAGGCCAGGGCGCAGCCAGAGACCGGGGGCCCGGGAGCAGCCCAGCCGACAGGAGGCCUCAGCCCUGCCGCAGCAGGUGCCUGUGGCUGAAGGCGAGGACACCACCCCGGAGAUCCAGGCCAGAGCCUUCCGCGUGGUGUGUGACAGCAUGCUGCAGGGGCUGGCACGGAGCCUCCGCUGUCUGGGCGUGGAUGUGCUCGUGCUGGGCACCGGCGAGGACCACCGCAGGGCGGCUGAGGUCGCCAGGCAGGAGGGGAGGGUCAUCCUGACGUCAGGGCUGCCGUACCACAAGCUCCGGGCCCAGGUCAGGGCUGGGCGCUGUCUCUCGGUGGACUGCUCCCUCAAGGCCCGGCAGCAGGCGAAGGCUGUGCUCAGGCAUUUCAACGUGCGCGUCACCCACGCCGACAUCUUCAGCCGCUGCCAGGCCUGUAACUGUGACCAGUACCUGAAGGUCUCCAAGGACAUGAUGAAGCAGCUCAUGGGGCUCAGCAGCCACCAGGAAAGCCCCAGCAACACAGGCGAGUGCACCCCACAGUGUUAGGCGUGGGCUUGGUGGGGUCUGUGGAUGGCAGCCCAGCUGCUGGGUGCCCCUGGGCUCACCUGCAGGAAUGGCCAGCAGGAUGCUAGCCAGGGGGCUGAUGGCAAGGUACCAAUAGGCAAAAAGUCAGCCCUCACGGCCAGGAUGGGACCCCUCAGCCUCUGUCCUCUCUGGGGGUGUGCAGGCCGCCAACCCAGGGAGCCAGGGCACUCAGGCGUUCGGGUCCCCUCUGGGGCGGUGUACAACACCCUGUCUCCAGCGGGCCCUGCUCCACUGCUGCUCACCCUGCCUGCAUGUGGAGUGCACAUGCACACCAGCGCAGACACGCACACAUACGUGUAUGACCCCACAGAGAUACAUGCACGCUCAUUCAUAGGGACACACACAGGAGCACACACGUUCGCUUGUAUGCCUGUGCACACAACUUGAACAUAGAUGAGCCUGGCACAUGGGAGGAAGGAUGUCCACACCCCCCCCCCCCACCCGGGGCAGGUCCUACCGGGGGACCUAGCCUCAGUUUCCCUUUUGUAGGUGUAGAAAAAGGGUGCAGGGCACCCAGAGCUUUGAGGUCAGCAGUCGGGGCAGUGAAUGUGCCGGCUGUUCUACCACUGGCCCCCCACCUUCCAGAGAGAGGGGCCCAGCAGAGGGGGCCCUGGAGAGAGCCCAGUGGCUCCUCAGGCUCUGGACCCUCCUCAGUGUGGGGCAGGGAUGGGUGCAGAGGAGGGCAGCUGGGUCCCUCUGGUGGGGUUAGCCUGAGGCCUGGCUCCGUCUGCACAGAUGGUACCCCUCCAGGACCCUGCUCUUGUCCUUCCUGCCUCCCUCUGAGGUUCAGGGCCACCCACACAGUUGGUGAGCUGUCGUGACAGCCUGUGUCCAGCCCCGGGCAGCUCUCAGCUUUCCACAGCAUGGUCUUGACAUGCCCGAGGCCCAGGAGGGGAGGAACAGAGCGUGAGCAGUGCCCACUGCAGGGGCUGCCAGGCUCCAGCCCCCUCUGAGCCCCCCACCCCACCCAGAGGCUCACACUUGGCCUGGGGGGUGGGCAGCACCCCUGUGGGCUGUCUCGUGUCUCAGGGGCCACCCAGUAAGGGCUUGGGCCAAGCAGGCUGGGGCAAGGCAGUGAGGCCAGCUGGAGGUCAUGGCCUCGCUGGGCUCCAGGGAGGCUGUGGCGCUGGUCAGGUUCUCAUCCAUUCAGGUUAAUCUGGAGCCAUCUGUAGAGGAAUGUUUGCUGAGCAAAUUACGAGGGUGACGAGGAUGCCCAGAGCGAGGAUGCCCAGGAGCCAGGCUCAGCCCCAGCAGAGGCCCCCGGGGGCAGCACCUACGACCCGCCCUGCCGCUGGCUGGAGGCGUCAGAUCUGCAGGCCAGUGUGCCGGGCACACUG